GUAGGGAAUCUUGCGCAAUGGGCGAAAGCCUGACGCAGCAACGCCGCGUGGGGGAUGAAGGCCUUCGGGUUGUAAACCCCUUUCAGCAGGGACGAAAAUGACGGUACCUGCAGAAGAAGCCCCGGCCAACUACGUGCCAGCAGCCGCGGUAAUACGUAGGGGGCAAGCGUUGUCCGGAAUUAUUGGGCGUAAAGAGCUCGUAGGCGGUUCGGUAAGUCGGGUGUGAAAAUCCAGGGCUCAACCCUGGGACGCCACCCGAUACUGCUGUGACUAGAGUCCGGUAGAGGAGCGUGGAAUUCCUGGUGUAGCGGUGAAAUGCGCAGAUAUCAGGAGGAACACCAGCGGCGAAGGCGGCGCUCUGGGCCGGUACUGACGCUGAGGAGCGAAAGCAUGGGGAGCAAACAGG
rnacentral:rRNA from 1 species